rnacentral:hammerhead_ribozyme from 1 species
GUGCUGAAGAAGAGUCCCAAACUAGGACGAAACAGCUGUCCAGUAC